rnacentral:rRNA from 1 species
CCUCGGUGGAAGAUUACUAAUGAGAGUGGCGAACGGGUGAGUAACGCGUGAGCAACCUGCCUAUGACAGUGGGAUAGCCUCGGGAAACCGGGAUUAAUACCGCAUAAAAUCGUAGAAACACAUGUUUCAACGGUCAAAGAUUUAUCGGUCAUAGAUGGGCUCGCGUCUGAUUAGCUAGUUGGUGAGAUAACAGCCCACCAAGGCGUCGACGGGUAGCCGGCCUGAGAGGGUGUACGGCCACAUUGGGACUGAGAUACGGCCCAGACUCCUACGGGAGGCAGCAGUGGGGAAUAUUGCACAAUGGGCGGAAGCCUGAUGCAGCGACGCCGCGUGGGGGAUGAAGGCCUUCGGGUUGUAAACUCCUUUCGACAGGGACGAAGCGUAAGUGACGGUACCUGUAUAAGAAGCACCGGCUAACUACGUGCCAGCAGCCGCGGUAAUACGUAGGGUGCGAGCGUUGUCCGGAAUUACUGGGCGUAAAGAGCUCGUAGGUGGUUUGUCGCGUCGUCUGUGAAAUUCCGGGGCUUAACUCCGGGCGUGCAGGCGAUACGGGCUGACUUGAGUGCUGUAGGGGAGACUGGAAUUCCUGGUGUAGCGGUGAAAUGCGCAGAUAUCAGGAGGAACACCGAUGGCGAAGGCAGGUCUCUGGGCAGUAACUGACGCUGAGGAGCGAAAGCAUGGGUAGCGAACAGGAUUAGAUACCCUGGUAGUCCAUGCCGUAAACGGUGGGCGCUAGGUGUAGGGGGCUUCCACGUCUUCUGUGCCGUAGCUAACGCAUUAAGCGCCCCGCCUGGGGAGUACGCCGCAAGG